AAUCAACGCUGGCGGCGUGCCUAACACAUGCAAGUCGAACGAGAAAGGGCGGGUGUAGCAAUACAUUCGCCUGAGUAAAGUGGCGACCGGGUGAGUAACACGUGGCCAACCUACCCUCGAGCGGGGGAUAACCUGGGGAAACUCGGGCUAAUACCGCAUAACGUCCUGAUGGCAUAAGCCGAUGGGACCAAAGGCCCGCAAGGGUCACUUGGGGAGGGGGCUGCGGCCGAUUAGCUAGUUGGUGAGGUAACGGCCCACCAAGGCGAUGAUCGGUAGCCGGCCUGAGAGGGGCGCACGGUCACACUGGCACUGAAACACGGGCCAGACUCCUACGGGAGGCAGCAGUGGGGAAUUUUGCACAAUGCCCGAAAGGGUGAUGCAGCAACGCCGCGUGAGGGA
rnacentral:rRNA from 1 species